AGGGUUAAUGGGUUUUCAAAGAUAAGGUAUGAAAGUGUCAUGAUAUCAAUAGUUAAGGGAAUUUGGUUUGGGUGAAUGAAGAGAGGGGUUGAAAACUUGAAGGCCAACGAAUAAUGGGUGUAGGCAAGGAGGCAAUGAUUAAAAGGGUGGAAUAGUAAUUUGCGGUAACUUUAUUUAUUUUGUUUUAAUUUUUUUGGUACGAAGAAGUCAUCUUUCAAAUUCAGAUCUCACAUUUCUCUUCAUGUUGUACCAGAAACAUUUUCUUUGGAUUUUAA